UGGUCUAUGGUGCACACCUGCUGGGUU
rnacentral:piRNA from 1 species